rnacentral:rRNA from 1 species
GAUGAACGCUGUCGGCGUGCUUAACACAUGCAAGUCGAACGGUGAACGAGGGAGCUUGCUCCCUCCGGAUCAGUGGCGAACGGGUGAGUAACACGUGAGCAAUCUGCCCUGGACUCUGGGAUAAGCGUUGGAAACGACGUCUAAUACCGGAUACGAGGCGUGGGGGCAUCCCCAACGCCUGGAAAGAACUUCGGUCCAGGAUGAGCUCGCGGCCUAUCAGGUUGUUGGUGAGGUAACGGCUCACCAAGCCUACGACGGGUAGCCGGCCUGGGAGGGUGACCGGCCACACUGGGACUGAGACACGGCCCAGACUCCUACGGGAGGCAGCAGUGGGGAAUAUUGCACAAUGGGCGCAAGCCUGAUGCAGCAACGCCGCGUGAGGGACGACGGCCUUCGGGUUGUAAACCUCUUUUAGCAGGGAAGAAGCGAAAGUGACGGUACCUGCAGAAAAAGCACCGGCUAACUACGUGCCAGCAGCCGCCGUAACAC